rnacentral:misc_RNA from 1 species
CGCAGCCGCGGUAAUUCCAGCUCCAAUAGCGUAUAUUAAAGUUGUUGCAGUUAAAAAGCUCGUAGUUGAAUUUCGGGGUUAGUAGGUUGGUCAUGCCUCUGGUAUGUACUGGUCUCACUGAUUCCUCCUUCCUGAUGAGCCGUAAUGCCAUUAAUUUGGUGUUGCGGGGAAUUUGGACUGUUACUUUGAAAAAUUAGAGUGUUUAAAGCAAGCUAACGCUUGAAUACAUUAGCAUGGAAUAAUGAAAUAGGACGUUCGAUCCUAUUUUGUUGGUUUCUAGGAUUGACGUAAUGAUUAAUAGGGAUAGUUGGGGGCAUUAGUAUUCAAUUGUCAGAGGUGAAAUUCUUGGAUUUAUUGAAGACUAACUACUGCGAAAGCAUUUGCCAAGGAUGUUUUCAUUAAUCAAGAACGAAAGUUAGGGGAUCGAAGACGAUCAGAUACCGUCGUAGUCUUAACCAUAAACUAUGCCGACUAGGGAUCGGAUGAUGUUAAUUUUUAAUGACUCAUUCGCGCCUUAAC